GAUGAACGCUGGCGGCGUGCCUAAUACAUGCAAGUCGAGCGAACGGACGAGAAGCUUGCUUCUCUGAUGUUAGCGGCGGACGGGUGAGUAACACGUGGAUAACCUACCUAUAAGACUGGGAUAGCUUCGGGAAACCGGAGCUAAUACCGGAUGAUAUUUUGAACCGCAUGGUUCAAAAGUGAAAGACGGUCUUGCUGUCACUUAUAGAUGGAUCCGCGCUGCAUUAGCUAGUUGUUAAGGUAACGGCUUACCAAGGCAACGAUGCAUAGCCGACCUGAGAGGGUGAUAGGCCACACGGGAACUGAGACACGGUCCAGACUCCUACGGGAGGCAGCAGUAGGGAAUCUUCCGCAAUGGGCGAAAGCCUGACGGAGCGACGCCGCGUGAGUGAUGAAGGUCUUCGGAUCGUAAAACUCUGUUAUUAGGGAAGAACAUAUGUGUAAGUAACUGUGCACAUCUUGACGGUACCUAAUCAGAAAGCCACGGCUAACUACGUG
rnacentral:rRNA from 1 species